CGUGGUAUGGUAGACAACCAAAAUACAUAUCGAAUAUACAGUCUUCUGCUACUCAUAAACAUACACGAAAAGCCGCUUAAAAAAGAAAAUGCACGAUCAAAAAUCCCAUACCUUUUUUAUGUGUAUUUUUGCUCAAAACAUUGAGACGCUCGGAUUUCGGUGUUUAACGGUUUACCCUAUUUAUCGGUGUCAUCGUUUGCGAAUGCACUAGGUUGUAUGAUUCGUAAAAGGAAUAACGAGACGAUAUAACGAGGAUCUAGAAUAG